GUUUGGUUAGAAAUGUCUUGCAUCUGUUGUUGAAGGAAUCUAGAGACAAGAUUCAUGAGGCAGGGAGCGAAUAGUAAUGCCAGAAAGAUGACUAAGAAAGGUGUCAUGAGAGGGAGUAUCCACUUCCACAUAGGCUUUUCGAAAGUCCGGGAAUCGGAGGCCUCACGUUCCCUGCAUGUCUGAUUGUAGCUGCUGGAUUUUAUUCUCACUAUCUCGGAGUGGUUGAUGUAGAAACAGCGUUCUUCUUGGAGAAACAGGCAAAGACCACCUUCCCGAACUGUUAGGACAUCCAGCUCCCAUGAGUUCUGAAGCACCAAGCUGUCAAAGAAUCAAUCUGCUUCUGGGUGAGGUGAUCUGCAACCGUAAAGCUGGUUCCUGACUGUAAAGCCGGUUCUUGAUGCCAACACCAAGGGUGGAGUGAAGUCCCAUGAAGCAACACUGAUGAACAAGACCAAGGUGGAGUGAGGUCCCAUGAUGCAACACUGAUGAACAAGACCAAGGUGGAGCCAAGUCCCACGAUGCAACACUGACAGGACCAAGGUGGAGCAAUUUCCCAUGAUGCAUCAUUGACAGGAUCAAGGUGGAGGAAAGUCCCACUGAUGGGCAGGAUCAAGGGUGGAGCGAAGUCCCACGAUAUAACACUGAUAGGCACUGGCAGAAAGAGUGUGGCUUCAUUGCUUGCCGAGUGUAGCUUAGAUCCCCACCCACAGGCACGACUUACCAUAUCCUUGCCCUGAAUCAUCAAGUCUGGGAGUGGAUAGGAUAUAAGGUAGAAAGAACUAAUAUACACAAAAGACGUCUUUUUCUGAUUAUAAAAAUGCACGCACGUCUUUCAAAAAGUCUAGAGGCAAGAGAUGACUUACUUAGUCAUGAUAUAUUUUAGGAAUCCGUUAGUCUCCGCAUCGGCUAGGAAGAGAUUCCUGGAAAUCCGAAAGUGAGACUGUCGGGAAGAGGUCUCAGGAGAAUAACAACAAUGAUGACCACUUGCUGCCGCUGUUCCAGGUGCAUUCCGUGGAUUACCUCACACGAUGAAUCCAUGAAUCACCAUAACUAGCCCCGGGGCCUGGUUCUCAGGCAAGGGCUGGAAAUUAUGAUGGGAAGGCUCACUUGGAAUGGUGGUUCAGAGUGGGUGGGCACCGGCAGUGUCCACUGGCAGCAAUGGUUCAAGAAGGCUCUUUUUCCUGUGCUCUGGCUUCCUGAAUGAGACGUUGCUGCCCUGACAUCCCCCUUCCUCCUUAGUCUUUCUACUCCAUCACUCUGAGAUGCAGUGUGAUCAGCUGCCUCAUGCUCCUGCUGCCAUGUCUUCUCCGCCAUGAUGGGCUGUGCGUUCAAACUACCAGGUACCUUGGGACAGCAAUGAGGGAAGAACCCAGUACACUCCCUGCC
ensembl:lncRNA